rnacentral:rRNA from 1 species
ACGAACGCUGGCGGCGUGCCUAAUACGUGCAAGUAGAACGCUGAAGGAGGAGCUUGCUUCUCCGGAUGAGUUGCGAACGGGUGAGUAACGCGUAGGUAACCUGCCUGGUAGCGGGGGAUAACUAUUGGAAACGAUAGCUAAUACCGCAUAAGAGUAGAUGUUGCAUGACAUUUGCUUGAAAGGUGCAAUUGCACCACUACCAGAUGGACCUGCGUUGUAUUAGCUAGUUGGUGGGGUAACGGCUCACCAAGGCGACGAUACAUAGCCGACCUGAGAGGGUGAUCGGCCACACUGGGACUGAGACACGGCCCAGACUCCUACGGGAGGCAGCAGUAGGGAAUCUUCGGCAAUGGACGGAAGUCUGACCGAGCAACGCCGCGUGAGUGAAGAAGGUUUUCGGAUCGUAAAGCUCUGUUGUAAGAGAAGAACGAGUGUGAGAGUGGAAAGUUCACACUGUGACGGUAUCUUACCAGAAAGGGACGGCUAACUACGUG